rnacentral:rRNA from 1 species
AGUCGAACGGUGAAGCCCAGCUUGCUGGGUGGAUCAGUGGCGAACGGGUGAGUAACACGUGAGCAACCUGCCCUCCACUUCGGGAUAAGCCUUGGAAACGAGGUCUAAUACCGGAUACGAGCACUUACCGCAUGGUGGGUGUUGGAAAGUUUUUCGGUGGGGGAUGGGCUCGCGGCCUAUCAGCUUGUUGGUGGGGUAAUGGCCUACCAAGGCGUCGACGGGUAGCCGGCCUGAGAGGGCGACCGGCCACACUGGGACUGAGACACGGCCCAGACUCCUACGGGAGGCAGCAGUGGGGAAUAUUGCACAAUGGGCGAAAGCCUGAUGCAGCGACGCCACGUGAGGGAUGACGGCCUUCGGGUUGUAAACCUCUUUCAGCAGGGAAGAAGCGCAAGUGACGGUACCUGCAGAAGAAGCGCCGGCUAACUACGUGCCAGCAGCCGCGGUAAUACGUAGGGCGCAAGCGUUGUCCGGAAUUAUUGGGCGUAAAGAGCUCGUAGGCGGUCUGUCGCGUCUGGUGUGAAAUCUCAUGGCUCAACUGUGAGCUUGCAUCGGGUACGGGCAGACUAGAGUGCUGUAGGGGAGACUGGAAUUCCUGGUGUAGCGGUGGAAUGCGCAGAUAUCAGGAGGAACACCGAUGGCGAAGGCAGGUCUCUGGGCAGUUACUGACGCUGAGGAGCGAAAGCAUGGGGAGCGAACAGGAUUAGAUACCCUGGUAGUCCAUGCCGUAAACGUUGGGCACUAGGUGUGGGGCCAGUUCCACUGGUUCUGUGCCGUAGCUAACGCAUUAAGUGCCCCGCCUGGGGAGUACGGCCGCAAGGCUAAAACUCAAAGGAAUUGACGGGGGCCCGCACAAGCGGCGGAGCAUGCGGAUUAAUUCGAUGCAACGCGAAGAACCUUACCAAGGCUUGACAUGUACGAGAAAGCCCCAGAGAUGGGGUUCUCUUUGGACACUCGUACACAGGUGGUGCAUGGUUGUCGUCAGCUCGUGUCGUGAGAUGUUGGGUUAAGUCCCGCAACGAGCGCAACCCUUGUCUCAUGUUGCCAGCGGGUUAUGCCGGGGACUCAUGGGAGACUGCCGGGGUCAACUCGGAGGAAGGUGGGGAUGACGUCAAAUCAUCAUGCCCCUUAUGUCUUGGGCUUCACGCAUGCUACAAUGGCCGGUACAGAGGGCUGCGAUACCGUGAGGUGGAGCGAAUCCCAAAAAGCCGGUCUCAGUUCGGAUCGGGGUCUGCAACUCGACCCCGUGAAGUCGGAGUCGCUAGUAAUCGCAGAUCAGCAACGCUGCGGUGAAUACGUUCCCGGGCCUUGUACACACCGCCCGUCAAGUCACGAAAGUUGGUAACACCCGAAGC